AAGUCGUAACAAGGUUUCCGUAGGUGAACCUGCGGAAGGAUCAUUAACACGUAUCCAACGUUAAACCCCCUGUGAACUUUCAUCGUGCUCUUGCAUCCUAGGAACAGCAAUCCUGGUAAAUCAGUCGCGAAAGUAGUUAUUGAUUCAGGACCUCUGCCCAAAAGAUGUGAUUGAGCGCUCGAGGCAAGUGGCCUAGCUUCCGCAAGGAUAACGCUUCACGGGUGCUGACCGAACACCGGCCGGCAUCGUGGUCACCGGGCUCACGCCCCUUCGAAACAACCAGUAGUUAGCGUAUGUCUCCACGACACAGCAAGUGCGCCGUCCUGGAGAAAAAUGAACAACUGUUAACAAUGGAUAUCUUGGUUCUC
rnacentral:misc_RNA from 1 species